CUCUCUUUAGCUCAGUUGGAAGAGCAUGAGACUGUAAAUCUCAGGGUCCCCGGUUCGAUCCCGGGAGGGGAGA